rnacentral:rRNA from 1 species
AACCCAGUGUGAUUCGUCACACUAUCAUUAACUGAAUCCAUAGGUUAAUGAGGCGAACCGGGGGAACUGAAACAUCUAAGUACCCCGAGGAAAAGAAAUCAACCGAGAUUCCCCCAGUAGCGGCGAGCGAACGGGGAGGAGCCCAGAGCCUGAAUCAGCAUGUGUGUUAGUGGAAGCGUCUGGAAAGGCGCGCGAUACAGGGUGACAGCCCCGUACACAAAAGCGCAUGUGCUGUGAGCUCGAUGAGUAGGGCGGGACACGUGGUAUCCUGUCUGAAUAUGGGGGGACCAUCCUCCAAGGCUAAAUACUCCUGACUGACCGAUAGUGAACCAGUACCGUGAGGGAAAGGCGAAAAGAACCCCGGCGAGGGGAGUGAAAAAGAACCUGAAACCGUGUACGUACAAGCAGUGGGAGCACAGGUUUACCUGUGUGACUGCGUACCUUUUGUAUAAUGGGUCAGCGACUUAUAUUCUGUAGCAAGGUUAACCGAAUAGGGGAGCCGGAGGGAAACCGAGUCUUAACCGGGCGUUAAGUUGCAGGGUAUAGACCCGAAACCCGGUGAUCUAGCCAUGGGCAGGUUGAAGGUUGGGUAACACUAACUGGAGGACCGAACCGACUAAUGUUGAAAAAUUAGCGGAUGACCUGUGGCUGGGGGUGAAAGGCCAAUCAAACCGGGAGAUAGCUGGUUCUCCCCGAAAGCUAUUUAGGUAGCGCCUCGUGAAUUCAUCUCCGGGGGUAGAGCACUGUUUCGGCUAGGGGGCCAUCCCGGCUUACCAACCCGAUGCAAACUGCGAAUACCGGAGAAUGUUAUCACGGGAGACACACGGCGGGUGCUAACGUCCGUCGUGAAGAGGGAAACAACCCAGACCGCCAGCUAAGGUCCCAAAGUCAUGGUUAAGUGGGAAACGAUGUGGGAAGGCCCAGACAGCCAGGAUGUUGGCUUAGAAGCAGCCAUCAUUUAAAGAAAGCGUAAUAGCUCACUGGUCGAGUCGGCCUGCGCGGAAGAUGUAACGGGGCUAAACCAUGCACCGAAGCUGCGGCAGCGACGCUUAUGCGUUGUUGGGUA